GAAUCUGCCUUCAGGACGGGGAUAACAGGAGGAAACUGCUGCUAAAACCGGAUAUGCCGAAAGGUGAAAGUAUUAAUAGCCUGAAGAGGAGCUCGCGUCUGAUUAGCUAGUUGGUAGGGUAAAAGCUUACCAAGGCGACAAUCAGUAGCUGGUCUGAGAGGACGAUCAGCCACACUGGGACUGAGACACGGCCCAGACUCCUACGGGAGGCAGCAGUGGGGAAUUUUCCGCAAUGGGCGAAAGCCUGACGGAGCAAGACCGCGUGGGGGAGGAAGGUUCUUGGAUUGUAAACCCCUUUUCUCAGGGAAGAAAAAAAUGACGGUACCUGAGGAAUAAGCAUCGGCUAACUCCGUGCCAGCAGCCGCGGUAAUACGGAGGAUGCAAGCGUUAUCCGGAAUAAUUGGGCGUAAAGCGUCCGUAGGUGGUCAUUCAAGUCUGCCGUUAAAGAGUGGGGCUUAACCCCACAAAGGCGGUGGAAACUGAAAGACUAGAGUGCAGUAGGGGUAGAGGGAAUUCCCGGUGUAGCGGUGAAAUGCGUAGAGAUCGGGAAGAACACCGGUGGCGAAAGCGCUCUGCUGGACUGCAACUGACACUGAGGGACGAAAGCUAGGGGAGCG
rnacentral:rRNA from 1 species